ACUAAAGGUCAUAAUUAAAAGAAUUGUGAUAUGAUAAUAGCACACAGUAAUAUUAAAUAAAUGAUGCAAAGUACAAAAUAAAACACUGUACAGAGAGCCGAGUUUUCUAAGAUGCACAUGCAUAGGAAAGAAAGAAAUUGGGGGUUAACUGUGGUUAAAUUUUCAGCAUUGUCUACAUUUUCUACAAUGAGCCUGUAUUUUAUGAUCAGGAGGGGAAGGUUAAUAAAAGAGAAAGAUCAUGGCUUGUUCAGAGUGGUGAGACUUUCUUGUGAAGUGUGAAAUGGGUAGUGGGGAAUAAUAGAAUAAGGGUCUGGAGAAGUAAGGUCCCUAUUUUUAUCCAUUGUUAGCAUUUUAUGGUUACGAAGAACCUAAUACCAGGUGAAGGAGUUCAGCAGAGGAAUAUAUAUUUGUGACAUUGUUCUGGCUGGACAGUGGAGGCUGAGCUGGUGAGGGGAGAAAGGAAUCCCGAAGACCAUAUUGGCAGUUUUUUUCAGAGCCCAAGAGAGAGAGUGGGAUUCUGACCCAGCCACUAGAAGGGGGCCAGAGGAGAAGGAAUAGAUGUGAUGUUUUGAAGAUAAAAUGAGCAGACCUUAAGGGACACGGAAGAUCAAGCAGCAAAUUCCCAAGCCAGAAGUCUGGGCCUCUACAUCCUGGUGAGACAUACGACAUGACAAAUGAGGCCAGGCCCAGGUCUGAGAGGCACUGCUUUCCUUGCAGCUCUCUGGAGCUACCCUGUGUUCACAGUGGCUAAUGCCGCUCUGAUGUUGGGAAGGGCUGGAGACAAGGGAGGAGACAACCCAACUCCUAGCAGGCUACCUGGCUAUCGUAGGCUACCUUGACACUGACUAGGUUCCCUACUUGUACCAUGUGUGGUUUUCCAGGAUUCCUGUGAUCUCUGGUAUUUUCCCUCCAAGGACUGGGGUUCCCUCAAGGCAAGUCACCUUACUGAACCAAUAGCAAGGUUGUAAUCAUCACUACUGUUAGUUGAGGGGUUCCUGUGUGCCAGGCACCAUACUAAAUGCCAAAUGUGUUAUAUCUCAUUUAAUCCUCACCUGAGGAGGGAAGUUCUCUUAGGCUAUUUGCAAAGCCAGUAGUCCCAGUCAGGAUUAGAACAACUCUGAUGUACAAGUCUGUGCCCCUUUCUCCCAGGUGAACUUCUCAGUGCACCCCCAAGGACUCCUCUCCACAUGUAAGAGUUCUUUGUUAAAUUCAAAGAGCAGUUCUUGCCUGUAGUAAAAAGGUCAGUGGUGCAAAAGCAUACAGAGAGAUGUGAGACUCCCUCCCAGUCCACACAACCAGUCUCCUACCCCAGGGGUAGCUAUUUUUAAAUGUUUUGAUCUUUCCUCAAGAUAGUCCCAGCAUUUACAACCUUAUGUAUCCCCCUUAAAGAAACACAAAAAAACAAAUGAGAAGCUUAGGAUACACAGUCUACACCUUGCUUUUUUCAGUGUCUUGGAGAUGGCUUUCUAUUAGCCUGUAAGAUCUACCUCAUUUUUUUCACUGCUUGGUGAUAUCCGUUGUAUGAAUGUACCAUAAUUCAUACGGUCCCCCUGUUGUUGGGCCUCUAGGUUCUUUUCUGCCUUUUGCUAUUACAAACAGUACUGUGCCAAAUAUCCCCGCACGCUGUCCUUGGAUAAAUUGAUGAAAUUAAAUAGUAGGUGCAUUUGUUAUUUUGAUAGAAAUUAGAAAUGUAGUUCCCAGUGUGUGUAUGAAAAUGCCCAUUCCCCUGAAUCCUCUGGAACUAUUGUGUUGUUUCUGAUCUCAUAAAUGAAAAAUGCUCUCAUAUUUUAAUUUGCAUUCAACUAUGAGUGAAACUGGGUACCAUAGCCCAUGUUUAAAAGCCACGUGUAUUUAUUUUCUGUGACUUGCUUAUUUGCGUUCUUUAGCAGUUUUUCUGUUCAUCCUUUUAAUAAUCAAUUUGUACAAACUAUAAAGAAAUUAUCCUUAUCUGCUA
rnacentral:lncRNA from 1 species